ensembl:lncRNA LINC02641 long intergenic non-protein coding RNA 2641
GGGAGGGGAGGGCUUUAGGAAUUCCCGCUAAACGACAUCUAUACAGAGCCUUUCUGCUGACACGGGCCAGCAAGUGGUUAAUAUCAAAAAGCAGACAUCUGAAGAGGCACUGACACCCUCCCACUCACAGAAGGUGAGGCCAGAGGAGCUCCGUGCUGCUAGGAGAUCCAGGCAGAAACAUCCAGGAGUGGAAGCUCAGCCCAGCGGCUGGGAGGCUGUGGCACCUCCUGUCCACAUGGCAGGCCAGGCCGAGGUGGGCUGGCUACACAGUGGGGCUCCCCCUCUCUGAUAAGGACACAGCAUUUGUCUCCUCCAGAGGAUACAGCACCAAGGCGCCAUCUUGGAAGUAGACUGGAGCUCUUAGCAGACCAGAACCUGUGGGUGUGUUGAUCUUGUACUUCCUGACCUCCAGAACUGCAUAUUAUGAAUAUUCAGUGAAACAACGUGUGUGCUCACCAGGCAGGAAGAGCUCAGCAAAUGGUGGCUGGUCUGGAAAUUAUUGUCAUCACUAUAAUCCUCAUCGACAUCCUCAGCCUUAUUGUCAUCAUCAUCAACCUCAUCAGUGUCAUCAUCAGCCUCAUCAACGUCAUCAUCAGCCUCAUCACUGUCAUCAUCAGCCCUUUGUCAUCAUCAUCAUCCACCUUGCUGUUCUCUUCCUUGUUGACAUCAUUAUCCUCAUCCUCCUCAUCACCAUCAACAGCAUUAUUUUUAUUUUUUAUUCUUCCACCUGUAAGAGUUUCUUUUCCUCCCUCUUAUUGUUUUCCUCUUGGGAUGACUAGUGGUGAAGGAAGUGUCAGAGGCAAUGACCUCACAGCUGUCGUUGCCAUGGGUGACACCUCCCAGAAAGAGCUUAUUGGAACUUUCAGUCCAGGGGAGUUUCUGCUGUUCCAGGAUGGAGGAAAUGUUCAAGAACUGUGGAGCAUCUGAGAUUUUUUUCCUACUUUUGAUGUCCACCUAGUCAAAGUUCAGGUAGGCUUAUUGUCUAUUAUAAAAGCUCCAGGUUCCCAAA